UUACAAGGUGAACAAGUAGAUUGUGUUGUGAUUGGCUCAUAUUUUGAGUUGUUAACAAUUAAGUGACUUUGUGUGUUAUGCUUUCGGAAUAGUGGCCAAAUAUGUCCAUAUCUCAUUUUGGCUAAUAGUGGAAGACAAUGAUGAUGUUUCAUAGGAUUCCUUUGUUUUGGCAUUUUUUAUUCAUUUCCCAUUUGCAUGCCGAAAGUGGUUUUGGGUUUUGAGAAAAGGGAGCAUGAUGGAUCAUCAUUGUGUCUAUGUAAAAAAGGAGAGGUUGACUCACUUUUCUGUCCAUUUAAUUGCAAAGAGCCGAAGUAGAGAAAUAAAGAGAGAGAGCAUCCGAAGGAGAACACAAAGGAGAGAAAAUAUAGAGUAAGAGUGAGAAACUCUUGGGGAGAGGAGUCUUUUAGUAAAAUUCUGUGAGGGUACAAGGGAUUGGGGUUUGGGUUAUGUCGAUUUAACUCAAGUGUAACUUGUACUGUUAUUCUCAUAGUGAAGAGCAAUAUCUCUCCGGGGACGUAGGCAGGUUUUUGCCGAACCUCGUAAAUUUCUCGGUGUCUUUAUUUCUUGUAUUUUAAAUUGUUCAACUGUGGGUUUAUAAGUUGGUGAGAUAACAGGCCAAAGCACAACAAUUGGUAUCAGAGCUUUGUUGGAAGCUUUGGUUCAUCGAAGGUCCAGAUUUGUUAUUCACCAUGAUGACUACAAACAUGUCAUUUUCAGUUGAGAAGUUUAAUGGGAAAGACAAUUUUACUCUUUGGCAGAUGAGAGUAAAGGAUGUCUUGACUCAACAAGGCUUGGCUAGAGCUUUGAAGGGAAAAGAUGGGAAGCCUCAAGAAAUGACAGAUGACCAGUGGGAGGAGCUGGAGGCGCGUUGUGUUAGCACGAUUCGACACUGUAUAACUGAUAACAUUAUCAAUAAUGUUAUGGAUGAAGAUUCUGCGCCUGCACUUUGGGAGAAGUUGGAAAAACUCUAUAUUGCUAAGAGUUUGACCAACAAGUUGCAUUUGAAACGGAAACUGUACAAGCUGAAGAUGGAUGAAUGUGAGAAUCUCAUGGACCACAUGAAUGUGUUCAACGGAUACUUGGAUCAAUUGAGGAAAGUUGAUGUCAAGGUUGAGGAAGAAGACAAAGCCCUCUUACUUCUUACCUCACUUCCAGAUUCGUAUGAAAAUCUUGUGACAACCUUACUGCAUGGAAAAGAUACAGUAAGUUUGGAGCAGGUGCAAGCUUCUUUGGUGUCUUAUGAUACACAAAAGAAGAAGACCAUUGUUGAUGGUGGGCACGAGACUGCUUUAGCUGUUCAAGGUUGGAAUCGUGGAAGAAAAUUGGGAGAAGGAUCUGAGAGAGACAACAGGUUCAAAUCCGGUUCCGGAGGCAAGGGUCUACAAUGCUACAACUGCAAAGAAUUCGGGCAUAAAAAGAUAAAUUGUCCUUUGAGAAAAAGAAAGGAUGAUCUUGGUCCGAGUAGUAGCAAUUUUGUGGCAGAAGACUUCGAGUAUGCCCUCUAGGUACUCGAAGCAACACUUCUCUUGGUGAUGUUUAGUCUCGAGUGUUGCAAGGGAUUUGCACCAGGUGGAGCUAUGGGAUUCACAGGUGAUGAGAUGGUCUUGAAGGAAGAGAAGUGUGGGGAAUUUUGUCUGGCUCGAUGGGUUGUUGUUGGAAACGGGUGCACUGACGAGUUUCCAAGUUGCAGACAAUAAAGAAGGGGAAAAAAACUGUUGGAGGAGACGAGGAUGUGUCGAGAUCCUGUCUGAAACUAAAAUUGUGAUUUUUAGCUUGCAGCAGCUGCACAUGCAUUGGCAGUGACUGAAUCGGAACAGGACCAACGAGGUUUAUUCAGUGUGUGUAUGCUGGUACGUAAGGCCAAUGGACUUUGGUGAUGGGUGCAAGGAUUUUUUGCACAGUAUAUUCGCCAAGGUGGAGAUUGUUGUGAUUGGCUCAUAUUUUGAGUUGUUAACAAUUAAGUGACUUUGUGUGUUAUGCUUUCGAAAUAGUGGCCAAAUAUGUCCAUAUCUCAUUUCCACUAAUAGUGGAAGACAAUGAUGAUGUUUCAUAGGAUUCCUUUGUUUUGGCAUUUUUUACUCAUUUCCCAUUUGCAUGCCGAAAGUGGUUUUGGGUUUUGAGAAAAGGGAGCAUGAUGGAUCAUCAUUGUGUCUAUGUAAAAAAGGAGGUUGACUCACUUUUCUGUCCAUUUAAUUGCAAAGAGCCGAAGUAGAGAAAUAAAGAGAGAGAGCAUCCGAAGGAGAACACAAAGGAGAGAAAAUAUAGAGUAAGAGUGAGAAACUCUUGGGGAGAGUGAGUCUCUUAGUAAAAUUCUGUGAGGGUACAAGGGAUUGGGGUUUGGGUUAUGUCGAUUUAACUCAAGUGUAACUUGUACUGUUAUUCUCAUAGUGAAGAGCAAUAUCUCUCCGGGGACGUAGGCAGGUUUUU
rnacentral:lncRNA from 1 species